rnacentral:tRNA from 1 species
UAUAGCUCAGGGUAGAGUGCCUGCCUAGCAUGCAGGAGGCCCUUGGUUCAAUCCCAGUA